CGAACGGGUGAGUAACGCGUGAGGAACCUGCCUCAAAGAGGGGGACAACAGUUGGAAACGACUGCUAAUACCGCAUAAGCCCACGGCUCGGCAUCGAGCAGAGGGAAAAGGAGCAAUCCGCUUUGAGAUGGCCUCGCGUCCGAUUAGCUAGUUGGUGAGGUAACGGCCCACCAAGGCGACGAUCGGUAGCCGGACUGGGAGGUUGAACGGCCACAUUGGGACUGUGACACGGCCCAG
rnacentral:rRNA from 1 species